rnacentral:rRNA from 1 species
GCCAGCAGCGCUACCACGUUAAAUGUACCAGUUCUCAAUGGAUCACUGAAGUUAAGGAACGCUGGGUGUGGUUGUUGUCU